UACGAAGGGGGCGAGCGUUGUUCGGAAUUACUGGGCGUAAAGGGCGCGCAGGCGGCCUUAGAAGUCAGAUGUGAAAGCCCCGGGCUCAACCUGGGAAUUGCAUUCGAGACUGCUCUGCUAGGGUGCGGAAGAGGGAAGCGGAAUUUCCGGUGUAGCGGUGAAAUGCGUAGAUAUCGGAAGGAACACCAGUGGCGAAAGCGGCUUCCUGGUCCAGCACCGACGUUCAGGCACGAAAGCGUGGGGAGCAAACAGG
rnacentral:rRNA from 1 species